rnacentral:sRNA from 12 species
ACGGGUCAAAUGUAGUAGGGAACGAACCAGACCCUUUGUGAAAGGAGAGAUACUUCCCGGGCGGAAAGCCCGAAACCGCCCUUUGUGGCCACGGCACGGACGCUGCUUGCAUGGCGGGGUAUUGCGCUAUCCCCGUUUCAUGUGUCGGGCCAAAGUAGUUUAUACGCGCACCUACAAGACAACUAUGCGGAGGGCGAAUACUUUUUAUUAUGACC